rnacentral:rRNA from 1 species
CCCUUAGACGUUCUGGGCCGCACGCGUGCUACACUGAGUGGAUCAGCGGGUCAGGUUGCGCGAAAGUGUUUCCUAAUCUUGAAAUCCGCUCGUGAUGGGGAUUGACGGUUGCAAUUUUCCGUCAUGAACGAGGAAUACCUUGUAAGCGCGGGUCAUCAUCCCGCGCUGAAUACGUCCCUGCCCUUUGUACACACCGCCCGUCGCUCCUACCGAUUGAGUGGUCCGGUGAGGCUUUGGGAUCUGAGCAAAGAGAGCGUUUCGCUCGUUUUGCCCGGAAAACUCAGUCGAACCUUAUCAUUUAGAGGAAGGAGAAGUCGUAACA